CCUACGGGUGGCAGCAGUGAGGAAUAUUGGUCAAUGGACGAGAGUCUGAACCAGCAAAGUAGCGUGAAGGAUGACUGCCCUAUGGGUUGUAAACUUCUUUUAUAUGGGAUUAAAAUGUUCCACGUGUGGGUUUUUGUAUGUACCAACUGAAUAAGGAUCGGCGAACUCCGUGCCAGCAGCCGGGGUAAUACGGAGGAUCCGAGCGUUAUCCGGAUUUAUUGGGUUUAAAGGGAGCGUAGGUGGAUUGUUAAGUCAGUUGUGAAAGUUUGCGGCUCAACCGUAAAAUUGCAGUUGAAACUGGCAGUCUUGAGUACAGGAGAGGUGGGCGGAAUUCGUGGUGUAGCGGUGAAAUGCUUAGAUAUCACGAAGAACUCCGAUUGCGAAGGCAGCUCACUGGACUGCAACUGACACUGAGGCUCGAAAGUGUGGGUAUCAAACAGGAUUAGAUACCCUUGUAGUC
rnacentral:rRNA from 1 species